rnacentral:rRNA from 1 species
AGCGAACGCUGGCGGCAGGCUUAACACAUGCAAGUCGAGCGGUCACUUUCGGGUGUCAGCGGCUGACGGGUGCGUAACGCGUGGGAACGUGCCCUCUUGUUCGGAAUAACUCAGGGAAACUUGAGCUAAUACCGGAUACGCCCUUUUGGUGAAAGGCUUGCUGCCGGAGGAUCGGCCCGCGUCUGAUUAGCUAGUUGGUGAGGUAACGGCUCACCAAGGCGACGAUCAGUAGCUGGUCUGAGAGGAUGAUCAGCCACACUGGGACUGAGACCCGGCCCCGACCCCUACGGGAGGCAGCAGUGGGGAAUAUUGGACAAUGGGCGCAAGCCUGAUCCCGCCAUGCCGCGUGAGUGAUGAAGGCCUUAGGGUUGUAAAGCUCUUUUAUCCGGGACGAUAAUGACGGUACCGGAGGAAUAAGCCCCGGCUAACUUCGUG